GUUAAAUGGCCGCAGUAUUUUGACUGUGCGAAGGUAGCAUAAUAAUUAGUUUUUUAAUUGAAAGCUGGAAUGAAUGAUUGGACGAGAAAGAAUCUGUCUCAAUUUUAUUUAAUUAGAAUUUUAUUUUUAAGUAAAAAAGCUUAAAUAUUUUUAAAAGACGAGAAGACCCUAUAGAGUUUUAUAUAUUUAUUUUUAUUUAUUUUUUAGUAUUAUAGAAUUUAUAUAAUUAAAUAGUAUUUAGUUGGGGUGAUUAAAAAAUUAAUUUAACUUUUUUUUUAUUAUUACAUUAAUAUAUGAGUAAUUGAUCCAUUUUUUAUGAUUAUAAGAUUAAAUUACCUUAGGGAUAACAGCGUUAUUUUUUUUUAGAGUUCUUAUCGAAAAAAAAGUUUGCGACCUCGAUGUUGGAUUAAAAUUAAUAUUUGGUGAAGAAGCUAAGUUAUUAGGUCUGUUCGACCUUUAAAAUUUUACA
rnacentral:rRNA from 2 species